AACGAACGCUGGCGGCAUGCCUAACACAUGCAAGUCGAACGAGACCUUCGGGUCUAGGGGCGCACGGGUGCGUAACGCGUGGGAACCUGCCCUUAGGUUCGGAAUAACUCCCCGAAAGGGGUGCUAAUACCGGAUAAUGUCUUCGGACCAAAGAUUUAUCGCCUUUGGAUGGGCCCGCGUUGGAUUAGCUAGUUGGUAGGGUAAAAGCCUACAAAGGCGACGAUCCAUAGCUGGUCUGAGAGGAUGAUCAGCCACACUGGGACUGAGACACGGCCCAGACUCCUACGGGAGGCAGCAGUGGGGAAUAUUGGACAAUGGGGGAAAGCCUGAUCCAGCAAUGCCGCGUGAGUGAUGAAGGCCUUAGGGUUGUAAAGCUCUUUUACCCGGGAUGAUAAUGACAGUACCGGGAGAAUAAGCUCCGGCUAACUCCGUG
rnacentral:rRNA from 1 species